rnacentral:tRNA from 1 species
AAGAUACUAGUAAAACCAAAUACAUUACCUUGUCAAGGUAAAAUUGUGGGUUAGAACCCCACGUAUCUUA